GUAUCUUUUUUGUUUUUUUUUUUUUUUAUGGAUAAGAGGUUUAUUGCCAAAAAAAAAGAAAAAAACGGCAGAGCGUUCA
rnacentral:ribozyme from 11 species